GGAAGCAUCAUAAAGCAGAGCAGAGUGCUGUUUACUCUGAGGUGAAGACAGCAGCUGCAGAGGACAGUCUGAUGUAUGCUGAGGUCAAACAGCCCAAAAAAGAAAAAGCCAAGAAAAACAAAGGAACAUCAAGUCCUGCAGCUGAUGCAGCAGUUUAUUCUGAAGUCACAUCAGGAAGCUCUCUCAGUCAGUGAGGAGAGCUGUAGCAGCAAAGCCAAGAAGAAGCUUUUUAUGAAGCCACUCUUGCUCCUCUGAUAUUUUUUAAUUUAAAUCUAUGCUCUCAUUUUUAUGAAGAUUAUAUAUUUUUAAAACACACUUUAAAAAAAAUAUUCAUUGUUAAAGGUUUUGUAUAAAACUUUGAAUUUAUCCUGUUCCAAAAGCUGCAAAAUAAAUAAAUAAAUACUUUGAAAUAUGUGAUCAUAUAUUUAGUUUCUUAUAUAGCGCAACUUAAAGUCAGAGUUGUUUUCCAUGACUUUUGUUGCCAUGAAAACAGGAUACUGCUGGACUUCAAGUUUGCUCUGGCCAUUUUACUUUAGUUAUUUUUAUUGUCCUGUCUUAUUUUUAUCAUCUUUUGUUAUUCUAUUUGAGAAGGAUUUAUCUUUUAGCUCUUUUUAGAGUCAUUUUAUAUAUUGUGAAUGAAAUAAAUGUUCUUAUUUGCUACUCUAUUGGGUGUAAAAGACUUUUAUUGGUUACUUUCUAUUUUGCCUCUGCCUUAUUUUUAUCAACUGAAAAGCCUCAUGAUUUCCCCAAAAUGGGGAAACUAAGCAUGUGGUUUCAGCGAAAAGCCUUCUGUUUAUGAGAUGUCUUUUUUCAUGGUAUCAGCACAUAGCAGAGAGUAAACAAGGAGUUCAGAC